rnacentral:lncRNA from 1 species
AUGGGUGCCACGGGAAGGCUGCGUCCUCUCCACCUGGACGAGGGAAGCAAACUAAAUUUUGAUUCCCAGGCAGCCCAACAACUUUUGCUGCAAAGCACAUUGCUUACAGUGUGCUUUCUGGGGAACCAAUUCCACCAGGCUGUUUCAUGGAACCGUGCCACCAGGGCAGAGGGUGCUGCCAGACUGGCCCCGCAGCCAAGAAGCCAGAUGGCAUCUUGCCGUUUGCCACCUGGAACGUAAUCCUUUUGGUCCCCAGCAGAAAGGCAGAUGGAGAAGGGUCAGGACAUCAGAGUACCGAGAUGAAAAGCGAGAAGGUGAGAGGGACGUAUGGAGACUGAAAAGAUGGCAAGGUCAUGGCCGUUCUGGUUUGGAUGUCGUUGUUGAGGGUUAAUAGCCAAAGGCCCAUCUGAUGCUUGAUUUACUGGUUGCUGGGUAACAGAAAAAGAAAAUGAGGUUUAACAUUCUCCAAGAAAUUACAGGGAAAUUCAUAGGAGAAUUAUUUGGUGGGCUGCCACUGUUUGAGGAAGGAAAUCGAAAGGAUCAAGUUCUUUCUAGUCUCUGUUGCUAAGCCUCAGUUUCUCCCCUUCAAAUUAGGGAGAUUAUUCCUUAUCAAGUUGCUAAGGCAUCAGUGGUUGUCCUUGUUGAUGAGGUCAUGUUGGAAUUCCCACUGCAGCAUGCAUACUAAAUCCAGAAUAUUCAUCAUGUGCAUUGGUGCUUUUCAUUGUUUAGCCUUUUAACAGUCUCUAAGUGUCUCUGUUUCAAAGGGGUCAGUUCCAGCCUCAACUUGAGUGUCUGGUUUUAUAUUUUCCAGCUCUUUAUAGACAACCCGCCUGUGUGUAUUUAAUUACUGCCCGUACUCAUCAUGCCAACCACAUGGUCUGAAUUAGGCCGGGGAGGGCAGUCAGAGGGAGGACGACCCAGAGAAGUGUCUGCAGGGCAAGACGGGCGAUAGAGAUUUUCUGCUUCGACACAUUGAAGCACAUAAUGAACCCAUAACAGAUUGCGCGAUUUCACGAAGCGCGCGACUUGACCUUUCUCUGAGUAAGCUAGGCUGCCGAUUUGAGUGGCGAGUCUUCACCCUCCCUCCCGGCCCGCUUGGCCCUCCUCGGAUUUUUUUUAUUUUCAUGAUAUUUGUUAGGCACUUACUCUGUGCCAGGCACCGUGCUAAGCACUGGGGUAGAUAUAGGCUAAUCAGGUUAGCCACAGUCCUUGUCCCUCAUGCGACUCAGUCUUAAUCCCCAUUUUACAGACGAGGUAACUGAGACAGAAAAGUUAAGUGAUUUAAUAAUGAUGAUAUUAAUAAUAACCAUGUUUAGUACUUAUGUGCCAGGCACUGUCCUAAGCACGGGGGUAGGUACAGAGUAAUCAGGUUGGACACAGUCCCCGUCCCCCAUAAUAAUAAUAAAAAUUAUGGUAUUUGUUAAGCGCUUAGCAUGUGCCAAGCACUGUUCUAAGCACUGGGGUAGAUACAAGGUAAUCAGGUUGUCCGACGUGCGGCUCGCGGUCUUAAUACCCAUUUUUACAGAUGAGGUAACUGAGUCACAGAGAAGUUAAGUGAUUUCCCCAAGAUCACACAGCAGACAAGUGGUGGAACUGAGAUUAGAACCCAAAUUCCUAUGACUCCCAGGCUCAUGCUCAAUCCCCUAGGCCACGUUGUUUCUGGUUAUCUUAUACCCACCCCACUGCUUGGCACACGGUAAGUCCUCAAUGUAUGCUGUUAUUAUUAUUAUCAUCAUCAUCAUCAUCUCUCCAAUGAAAUAUCAUCUGGCAUUGAAAUUCCAGAGAGGUUAGAGACAGUAAAAACAGUCCUGUUCCUUCUCACGUAAUACUAAGCUUAUCGUGAAAGGCAGGAGUUUCACACCUUGGUUCUAGGACCAUUUGAAAUAAAUAUUCUUUCCUGCUCCUGACCAACGGUGAGUUCAAGCCUGUUGAAAUGUUAAAUGACGACUUUACCACUGGAGAGCACUCUCGCUCAAUGCACAUGUCUCACGGCAUAUUUCAUCUCCUUUUUCCUUGUGGCGCUAUGGGUGACCAGACUGAUUAAGUACUUCAUCGUGCUUGUUGUGCAAAAUAAUGCCAUCCGUCGUGGUUAUUCUUAAGAGGACCGGUAAGCAAUUAGAAGCACUCAGAUUUAGGUACAUGUGCCUGUAAAAUGCCUCAUGAUAUCAAAAGAUGCUGCUGAUUUAGUGGAAAGAGCCCGGGCUUUAAGUCAGAGGUCAUGGGUUCGGAUCCUGGCUCUGCCACUUGUCAGCUGUGUGACUGUGGGCAAGUCACUUAACUUCUCUGUGCCUCAGUUACCUCAUCUGUCAAAUGGGGAUUAAGACUGUGAGUCCCACGUGGGACAACCUGAUUCCCCUGGGUCUACCCCGCGCUUAGAACAGUGCUCUGCACAUAGUAAGCACUUAACAAAUACCGACAUUAUUAUUAUUAUAACUUUCUGUGGUAUUUACAGUUUCUCAUAAACCCCAAGCUAGUUCAUAUUCAAGCAGUUUCAGUCCUGAAUGUGAACUCUCAGUGGUAUUUAUCGAGUGUUUACUCUGCGUAGAAAACCGUAUCAGGCCCUUUGGAGAGUACAAAAGAGUUGAUAGACAUGAUCCUUGCCUUCAGAGAACUUACAGAGUGGGGGAGACAGGCAUUGGAAUAAUUUACAGAUGGGGAAGAGACAGAGUCUAAGGAUCUGCACCUAAGUGCUGUGGGGGUGGGGUAAGUAUCAAAGCGUUCAAGUGUAUAUCCGGCAGACUGCAGCUCUUCCCACCUUUAGAGCCUCCUCCAAAAAUCACACCUCCUCCAAGAGGUCAUCCCUGACCAGGCCCUCAUUUCUCCGAUUAAUCCUCCCUUCUGCGGCCUUCUCCGUACCCAUUAAGCACUUGUUAUUAACCCCACCCUCAAUCCCACAACCCUACACACCCCUAUGUUCUCCCAUUUCCCCUAUUAGUAAUUAAUUUUAAUGUCUGCCUUUCCCUCUAUACCGGGAGCUCUAAGGGCAAGGAACAAUAGUGUCGAUCAAUUCUACUGUAUUAUUCUUUCCCAAGCCCCGGUACAGUGUUCAGAAUAGAGUAAACGCACCGUAACCCCAGAGGAUCUGCGAUCUAAUGCCGGCUUGGCCACUUGUCUGCUGUGUGACUUUGGACAAAUCAUUUAACUUCUCUAUGCCGCAGUUACCUCAUCUGUAAAAUGGGGAGUUAGACUGUGAGUCCCACAUGAGAAGUGGAUUGUAUCCAAUCCGAUUAGUGCCUGGCACAUAGAAAGAGCUUAAAUACCAUUCAAAAAAAGAAUAAGCACUCAAUAAAUCCCACUGAAUGAUUGCCGCAGCCCACUUGUGGCCUGCAGAGUUUUCCAGAGACCGGAAGGGGUCUUCUGCUGUGGUACUCUCCAGCUCCUGGCCCAAUGCCCUUUACAUAUUAGGCAUUCAAUAAAUACUAUUUGGUGAUUGGUACUGUACUUAGAUGUAGGUUUGGUUUUCUGUUGACAUGGUUUGAGUUGGGGCCGGAUAUAUAGGUUUAGAAAAGCAAUAUUUGGCCACACCAAAAUUCUCAAUUUGUCCGAACUGAGCGUGUUUGAAAACUUUUGGAAGUGAGAGCAGUGAUCGCAGAUGCUUAAUUUUCAUCACUGGAAUAACUCUCAAGUGACCCUGGUAGGGUUGUGACUGUUCACUAAGUUUAAUGUAGGGUUUGAUGAUGUCAUCUCAUCACUAUCUGGUCUCAUUGGUUCUGGCUUCUGGGAAUUUCCUUGGAGAAUAGAAACUUUUGAUUUCCCCAGACAGUACUGGAUUGUCUUGUUUUCAGCUGUUCUGGGCUUAUCUGGACCUCAUUCCGCCCCGGACACCUUCAUUGUCCAGUGUUUUUAUUUUGAGUGCCCAGUUUCCCUCCGUUUCAGGUCCUGUCACCGAGUGCCAUGGCUCGGAAGCGGCGCCCGUGUUCACAGGAACCCGGGAGGGAAAGACAAAGGUUUCGGAGCAGGUUGGAGGAGAGAAAGUCGGGGGUCCAUUCGGCGACACGUUCGAGGUCCUGAGCGGAGAUUCUUUUCACGUGUCCUUAUACAUUACGGUAGCAAAACGAAUGGAUGGAACCCAGCAUGUGUGGCCUAGUGGAAAAAUCACACCUUGGGAGUCAGAGGAUGUGAGUUCUAAUCCCGGCUCUACCACUUUGCCUGCUCUGUGAACUUGGGCAAAGUCACUUAACUUCUCUGCAAAAUGGGGAUUCAAUGCCUGUUCUCCCUCCUAUUUAAAUUGUGAGCUUUAUAUGGGACUGGGAACUGUGUCCAACCUGAUUAAUAUGUUUCUACCCCAUUGCUUGACACAUUAGUAAGCACUUAGGAAACGCCAUUUAAAACAAAUGAACAAAAAAAACUAUUUGUUGCUUUGGGUCAACAAAGAAAUGCCGGUCUUCUUGAGUGCCUUUGGUGGCAAGCCUAGUUUCAUCAUUUUGAGGAGGGUGGAAGAUGGUAGUUUCCUUGAUUUUACUGGCACCGUCCUGUCCUCCUCCCUAGUAGUGGUCUGCUAAGCACUGAGCUAAGUGCUGGAGUAGAUACAAGAUAAUCAGGUCGGGCAUAGCCACUGUCCCUUGAAGGGCUCACGCUCUAAGUAGUAGGGAGAACGGGUAUUGAAUUCCCAUUUUGCAGAUGAGGAAACCAAGGCCCAGAGAGGUCAAGUGACUGUGUGUCCAGGGACGCACAGCAGGCAAGACAGAGCCGGGAUUAGACCCCGAGCCCACUGACUUCCAGGCUCAGGCUCUUUCCACUAGGCUUCGCUGGUUCUCAGCUGACCCCCAGCCCACUCCCGACUUCUUCCUCCCUGGUGCCCAGCUGCGCCGCCCCUGCCGCGGCGAUCGUCGUUCGAAACGAUCCAGCAGUGGCAUCCUGACAGACACACGUCUUCAGCGUGCCUCCGGUUAUCGAAUUAGCAGCGGGCAGGCCGGAGCCCGGCUGGGCCGCCGGCUCCUCAUCCCCCUUCGUGGAAUGUCAACCAUUUGAGCUAUUUAGCAGAGCUCUUCGGCAGCAUUUGGCUGUUAUGACUGGCACCGGUUUCACGGAGCUCUGCUUUUCCUCGCUACCUUGGACCCCGGCCUGUGCCAUGUUUUCAGAUCCUGGCUGGUUUGAUUCUCCCCAUAUGGUUUCCAUAUGGUCCAUGCUGCUCUGGUUAGCCACCUUCGAAGCAGUCUGUCAGCUAGGUCCCCCUCAGAAACAAAUAAAUUGUCUCGUGUCUAC